UGUGAGAGGAGAUGUGACCUGACAACUGUGAAGGAGGAGGAUGAUAACAAGUUUUUCGAAGACAUACCAAUUGGACUUGGAGCACAGUCAGAGGUGAAAAUCAACACGGGUUACUCAGCCCAAGCUGCGACCGAAACAUUCGCCCCUGCAUCAAGCGUCCUCCGCUUCCGGCUCUCUUGUGCUCACGAAAAAGGAAACUGGACAGUGUGUUCUAGUGGAGCGCCUGAGAGGUGCUUGAAAACUGAACA